CUGGAGUCCCCCCACACGGGGCUGGACCGGCUCGGAUUCCAGCGAGAACAGGGGGCGCCGGAUUCGGGCCCUCUGGGCUUUAUUCUCAGAUGGGCUUCUGUGUGAUCGGCUGUGAUUCCAGCUGCUCCCAUGGGAUUCUAAUGAAGUGUCAGGUGAUGAGCGUGACAGAAAAUAAUGGGAAAACAUUUGGGAUCAGGCAGUGUCCCUAAGAGCUGGCAGUACCCAGCAUUUCUGGCUGGAAUUUGGGGAUUCCAGCAGAGUCUUUUCAUAGUGUUCCUGUGGACCUGGUACUGCCCAACAUUCCUGGCUGGAAUUUGGAGGUGACAUCCCCCACUUCCAUAGUGUUCCUGUGUCUCUGGCACUGCUUACCAUCCCUGCCCAGGGUUUGGAGAUUCCAACACAGCGCCCCCAGCACAUCCCACUGCUUCCUCAAGUUCCCUUUAACCAGGAUCAUUUUUUGGGGUGGGGGCAUCCAAACCCAGCAGUAUUUGCUUUAGCCAGUUUUGGGGGAUCUCCCUUCUCCCCUCCUCACUGAAUUCCCACUGCCAAAUCCCAGCCUGAGGCUCAGCUCUCCGUCCCCUCGAUCCCUCUGAGGAACUGGACUUGGAUUUCCCAAUCCAGCAGGGCAGAAAUGCUGUUUCUUCUCACUGUGUAUCUUGAUUGCAGUAACUGCUUAUGAAAUAAUUCAAAGAAAUUCAGAGAACGAAGAGACAAUAAGGAAGAGCUGCCAGCUCCAGCCAAGGGCUGCUCAACCCCCUUCUCAAUGAUUUGCUUUAAUUAACCAAUGCAAAUGAACCAAUACAAAUCACAUUGAUAUGGUUUUAUUCUUUUUAAUCAAAUUAUAAAUACUGCAGAAUAGAAAACACUUUUAACACCAAAACUCUUCUAGGAGAUACGCAGGGCAGGGCUGCACUGCACCCCCAAAUUGGGAAAAUUGGGACAACCGGGAGAAAAGAAUCCAGACUGACAUUCCUGGGAGAUUGGUGCAGCUUCUGCCAGCCAGAACAAUUCUUGGUCUGAGCACACACCUGCAGGAUAUCAUCAACAGCCUCCUGGGCCUUUUCAUUCAAAGCAGAUUUCCACAGAGAAUUAAUGAAAUACAGAAAAUUAAAUGGAAACAGAAAGGAGCAGCACCCUCAGGAGAGCAGACAGCAGCAUCCAAAAGAAAAUGAACAGAAAGAUUAGGGAUUGGGACCAUCUCAAAUUCCCCUUGUGAGAUACCACAGGCUUUGCUCUGUAAUUCACCACCUCUCUUGGUGGACAAACCCUUCAGCUUUGCUUCCAAUUUAUCGAGUUCCCAACUGUGACGAUCGAGAUUCUCUGCGCCGUGUCCACGGCGGGAUCCAGCGAGACACGCAGGGAAUUCCCAUGGGAACGCUGUCCAGGAAGCUCCCGGCCCUGCCCUG